AUAACGGUUAGGCGAACAACUAGGCCUGGUACUAGUUGUCUCAGUCGUUUGUCAGAUUCUGACGAAUGGAUAUUCUCGUUCACUUUCGUGACAUUUAUAUUCGUGUACUAUCGUGUACUAGAAGUCAGUUCCCAUUUUAUCAUUAUUGGGAAUGGCUCUUAGCUGAAGCUUCUCUCUUCUCUGAAGCUUAUUCUGAAGACUGAACAACAAGGGAAGAGGUAUAAAGCUUUGUCAAGCUUGUUAAGGAGCAAUGGCUAAUAUCCAGCUAUCCCAACAGUGCUCCUCUUGGCUAUACUAACGGACGAGACUGGACAGUUUGAGGACUGGAGUAUGACCUGCUCAUUCUUGGGGCUAAGAAAAGAUUACAUUGUACAAAAGAAGAAGGUAGUUUAGUGAUAGUAAUUAUGUAGCAGACAAAAAUAAAAACAAAUCGAAUAUAAGUAGUUCAUAGAGGAAUUAUGUAUUCAGGGGGGGACUCGCCCCUCCUGAGAUACAAGGUUGAUAUUGUCCAUGUAGACAGGUCUGUGCAGCGAUGAACGGCUUCCUCUAAUGCACAUUAUUGCAGAGCGGAUCGAUGCAAAGGAUAGCCUGCAUCUGAGCCAUCCCAUUACUGCUGGGUACGGAUUUUGUCUUUUCGAGGAUAAUAGAUCAGCGAGCCUCUUGUAGAACGUUGCUGCUUCUUUGCCCAUUCCUCCCCAGGUUGAGAGGACUAAGGGUGUGAAGACUCCCCGCUCGAUUUCUCUGACCCUUUGUCCGUAUUCCCUUUUUUUUGCUUGCUCGUGUCUCCUGUAGGCAUCUCCGGAACGGUUACUAGGUGCGUUAGGGUAGAAUACCCUUACAUCAAAAAAUGCAUCUUGGUGGUUGUUCCAGAAGCCUCUUGCACGAAUAUCGGGGCGAGCAUGGUUGCUUGUGUUUACUGAUCUGGCAGAGAAGAGCUCUCCAGUGAGGGGCUGGAGGGGUGGCUCUGUAGCGACAUUAUGGCAUACUUCUGUGAGCAGUGAGGCUGUGAUGUCACGAAUUUCGUUGUGGCGAAUAGUCGGGAAGCCCCCCAUGUGGCAAAUCAUGGCGUGAUCUACAGAGAAGUUUGCACCACAGUUGCAUGUUUAGGCCUAGUUGUUCGCCUAACCGUUAUAAAAGCGAAAACUCGGCCUGGGAUCGAGGCUAAUGAAUGACGUUGUAACGGAUUGGAGUUAUGCACUCGCCAAAUUUCUUGUUUCUUCGCUUUUUCGCCGCGCUUUUCUUUUCCUGGCAAUCCUAGCAACGUUCACAUUGCAAAUGUUUUUUAGUUUUGAUUAUUAUAUAUCUGUAGCUGUAGAACCAUGCAGAGUUUCUGUCUUGCAAAAUACGUGCAGCUGUGUGCGCGCAUGCGCGCACACAGCUGCAUGAUUGAGCUCCUCCCAUAAUUAUGCUGCAAUGUCCUUGGAUCAAGCAUGCAGUAGAUCUACGUAGUAUUCUAUACCUUUGAUCUAUCCGAGGCUUUGUUGCAAUUCAUCACUUCUGCUGUUACAAGAGGAACAACCUGCAUUGCAGAAAUGUCCGGAGGUACUAGAGGACGAUGGUAUUUCAAGAUGUUGUUAGGAGGAUUGGAAGGCAUUGCAGUUGUGAGAAACAAAGCUGAGCUGAGGAAAGCCUCUUGGAGCAAUUUCACAUGUUUCAACCCCAUCAAAUCAGAAAACUUGCGCGGAAGCCACAACUCAAGGGUUUCUAGAGCAUGCAUGCUAUUCAGGUGCAAUUCAAGAAUGGGAGUUAUAUCGUACUUAAUUGCCUUCUUCUUGAAUGGAACCAGAGCAAUUUCAACCACGAGUUUAAGCUGUCGGCGCCUAAUAACAAGUCCCUGGAUUUCAUAAAGGCAUGGAAUACAUUCACAGAGUUUAGUGCACGUGUGACCAGGAGUUUUCACUUGAUAGUGAUGCGUCCAGUUCCAGGGAAAACCUAACUCCACCAACUGCAAAGGUAUUUAAACACAGCGAUCCCCUUGAUGAUGCCAUCUUCAUCAAGCGACAAGUUAUAUAUAAAUACUAUUCACACAAUCUUAAAAGACGUACAGUGGAACCCCUCUAUAACAGACACCUUUGGGGAACAAUGUUUUGGCCUUCAUACAGAGGUGCAUGGCCUUUGUUGAGAGGUUGUUUUGUACACAAACUGUUCAUUGGGGACCUAGGUGUCUGGCCGUUAUAUAGCAGCUGGCCUUUAUUCGGAGGUAGUUGUUAACAAAGGUUCCACUGUAGCAUGAUUGUAUAAAUUUACACUAUAAUUAUUUGUACACCGCAGGUACAUUUGAUCUGCUUCUCAACACCCUAGUAAAACCACAUGAGGCCAAACGGUGUGUUAGACCAGUAGACACAUCGUUUGUUAAGGCUCUGGCAGCAAGGUUCGAAGAGGACCCUUCAUCUCCUGGUAUACCACCCAUUGCAGCACUAUGUGUAUCUGUUCCCUCAAAAGAAGCCUUCGACACAAAAAGAAAAGAUGGCUACAGGUACGAGGUAUUAGGAGGGCAGCACUCAGCUCUGGCAAGAAAAGAGAAUCCAGAAAACAUGGCUCUUCAGAGAGUCCUAGCAGAAGUCUAUAUUGGGCUCACAGAUGAUGAAUCCCUCCAUUUAGCUUCACGGCACAACGUCAACGGGCAUUUUGUGCACAAAAUGACGCACAGAGACUAUGUUGAAGCAUGUCGUUUCAAACUCUUUGCAUUGGCUGGCACAGAGUCCAGCGGGGAAACCCCAGAAACCAAGUCACACACAGAGUGGAGGGACAUAUGCAAGCAUUGCAUACUACCACAGGACAUGGGAAGGUGCACUAUGGACAAUGUCUUCAAUCAGGCCUCGUUUAAGAGUGAUGUUUGGAAGCUGCAUGGUGUCCACUAUCAUGGACAAGUUUGAGGAGGGGGAGUUAAAAGACCAGACCCUCAGCACAAAAUCUCUUAUUACGAAGCCUGAAUUCAGGCAACAAUACUUGAGCCCAAUUCAGUGCUUGCCUGAGGAAUUUAAGCUUGAUGUUCUGCAGGAUGUAGUUGAUGGAGAUCUUAGUUUGGCAGAGCUUCGUGAAAAGGUGGUAAACUACCGAUCAAUGCGGAUUAUUGAGUGAACCUUUUGCAAAAUCACGAGUACUACCUGGGAGGAAGCUAAUCGGAAGUACCCUGAACACACCAAUCCUGAGCGUUUGGAGUCAUUCACUGCAGUCUUCACAAAAUCCCCAAAAAAUCCACCUUCAUUUCAGGCAUAUUGUGAGGGUGCUUUGCAGUCUGCCACUCGUGCCGCCACAGAUAUAUUCACUCACCAACAGUCCAAAGUACACCUUGUUGAAGACACUAUAUUUUCAACAUCAUUUGAAAAAUUUCGGGCAGCACAUGCCACAUAUACAUGGGUGCAAAGCUGUUUGUUGCAAACGUACAAAAAGAAUGGACGAAGGAAGACAUACUGAAUGUGAUUUUCACUUGUAGGCAGGUAAAUACCAUUCCUGAGAAAACUCUCUCACUGUACAACAUUGUACUAAUCGGAGAAGACCUAUCACAGCUUGAAACAACACAGUCAGCAAUGGAGAGUUGUUACAGUUGCGUUAGUGUUUGCUAUUGGCACAACAGCUCUCUAGCUUCGAGACGUAGCUCCCUAGGGUUUGUGCCAGCACUGGGCUUCGUCAUAAUUGGCCACUACUCUGUCAACGGAGAGUUGUUGAAGGAACACUUCAACACAGCACCUGAGGCCCAGAGAUCCAAUGUGUUUUUGUCAGAUGUUAAGGAUGUUGCUGACGGUGUGCCAACAAGUGUGUAUAUGAGUCACUGAUCUACACACUCUCAUAUAAAGGACAGUGCAUCAUUGAUGCCACAACAGGAAGUGGAAAUUGUGCAGUCGCAGCUCUCAAGUGCAAGAGGAAUGUCGUUAUUAUUAAAUAGGGCAUGAGUGAAGUACGAGCUGCAUGCACUUCUGAAGCUGCAGUGCUCAUUUGGCUUAGAGUGACUGAUCUGCAUGAGUGUGCUUAUGAACUUUAUUUAUGCGAUAGUGUAGUUUAAUUAUUAUUAUGAUCAUGUUGCUUGAAUAUUUCAGCAAUCACUCAGAUUUACAAGAAUGUUAUUCGGUAGAUUCUCACUUUGAGUAUAUUUCACAUUAA